AGCAGCCGCGGUAAUUCCAGCUCCAAUAGCGUAUAUUAAAGUUGUUGCAGUUAAAAAGCUCGUAGUUGAAUUUCGGGAUCAAUACGUCGGUCGUGCUUCGGUACGUACUAACGUUAUUGGUUUCUCCUUUCUAACAAAUCGUGAUGUCAUUAAUUUGGUGUUACGGGGAGUUGGGACUGUUACUUUGAAAAAAUUAGAGUGUUUAAAGCAAGCAAUCGCUCGAAUACAUUAGCAUGGAAUAAUGAAAUAGGACGUUCGAACCUAUUUUGUUGGUUUCUAGGAUCGACGUAAUGAUUAAUAGGGAUAGUUGGGGGCAUUAGUAUUCAAUUGUCAGAGGUGAAAUUCUUGGAUUUAUUGAAGACUAACUACUGCGAAAGCAUUUGCCAAGGAUGUUUUCAUUAAUCAAGAACGAAAGUUAGGGGAUCGAAGACGAUCAGAUACCGUCGUAGUCUUAACCAUAAACUAUGCCGACUAGGGAUCGGAUGAUGUAAUUUUUAAUGACUCAUUCGGCGCCUUGCGG
rnacentral:rRNA from 1 species